CGAGGAAGCGGAAACUUUGCAACAUAAUAUCUUUCUAGGACGUUCCAUGUUCUGCACCUGGCAACUCUGACUGAUGCUAUAGAACGGGUUACCCUUGGAGAGUGACCCACUCUGAAAUUGUUACUCUCCCAACAAUUUCCACCAGAAGUGACCGAAGAAGGCUUAGGAAACGACCCAAGAAGCAGAGACUCCAUAACCACCAUCUCCAACUGAUUGGGAACUGAUGCUUCUUAAGUUAAUCAGAAGUCCGAAACUACUGCUACUACUAAUCUCUCUUUCUGUGUUGCUCCUGUCAAUAGAAGAAAUUAUUUGAGUGAGAAAG
rnacentral:misc_RNA from 1 species